rnacentral:rRNA from 1 species
AGUGGCGAACGGGAGAGUAACGCGUGGGAAACCUGCCCUUCAGCGGGGGACAACAGUUCUAACGAGCUGCUAAUACCGCAUACAAUCUAACUACCGCAUGGUGGUUUGAUGAAAGAUGGCCUCUACAUGUAAGCUGUCACUGAAGGAUGGUCCCGCGUCCCAUUAGCUUGUUGGUGGGGUAAAGGCCUACCAAGGCGACGAUGGGUAGCCGGCCUGAGAGGGUGUCCGGCCUCACUGGGACUGAGAUACGGCCCAGACUCCUACGGGAGGCAGCAGUCGAGAAGCUUCGGCAAUGGACGAAAGUCUGACCGAGCGACGCCGCGUGAGCGAUGAAGGCCUUCGGGUCGUAAAGCUCUGUCAGGAGGGAAUAAAUACCUAUGGUUAGUACCCAUGGGGGCUGAAGGUGCCUCCAGAGGAAGCGCCGGCUAACUACGUGCCAGCAGCCGCGGUAAUACGUAGGGCGCAAACGUUGUUCGGAUUCACUGGGUAUAAAGGGUUCGUAGGCGGGCUAUUAAGUCAGAGGUGAAAGCCACCGGCUCAACCGGUGAAUUGCCUCUGAUACUGUUAGUCUUGAGUCCGUUAGGGGGUGGUGGAAUUCCUGGUGUAGCGGUGAAAUGCGUAAAUAUCAGGAGGAACACCAGUGGCGAAGGCGACCACCUGGGACGGUACUGACGCUGAGGAACGAAAGCAUGGGUAUCAAACGGGAUUAGAUACCCCGGUAGUCCAUGCUGUAAACGAUGGGCACUAGGUGUCGGAGGAGCUUACCCCUUCGGUGCCGCAGCUAACGCAUUAAGUGCCCCACCUGGGGAGUACGAUCGCAAG